UUUCGGCAUUCACUCAGAGUUAACUCUAGAGUUAGCAGUGGUGCUCAAAUGUAAAUUUUGAUUUUCAGUUCGUCUGUUGGUUGUGAACGUUGUUGAUUGGCAAUUUGGCAUAGACGAUUCAUUUUGAUUGGCGCAGGGUUUGCAAUUGUAACAAUAUGUGAAACGGGCCUUUUAUUCUAGUAAUGUAAUGUUAAAAUAAAAUUUUUUGUUUCUAGAUUUCAUAAAAGUCCCCAAAAAUUUAUUACUAGAUGACCCAGAGUUAACUCUGUUUUCUUGCGAGAGUAAAGAAAAAGGGUCAGUCCUAACCUUUAAUGGCCGACAAAAUUUGUGAACGGAUUGUUUGUUUUGAAAAGUGUAAAUUGAAACAUAAUAAUUUAUUUUUAUUAAAAAUUAUUUUAACUUUUUAUUUAUAAAAAACAACUUUAAUUAAAAUAAAUAAUCUAGUUUCUAAAACAAAUCAGAUUAAUUAAAGUUAGGGAAAUAAUGAAAAAUUUAAAGAUUAUAAACUUUAAAAAAAUAACAGCAAAAAUAUGUUCCAUUUUUAAAUGAAAAACAAAAAAAUACGUAUAAAUUAAAAAAAAGUAAGCAAACAAGGACAACUAACUUCAAACUCAGGGUGAUGAAAAUAGAAAAUCAAUUAUUUUAUUUAGCUUGUUCUUGCCGACACUAUGAAGGUUUCUCAAUCAACUGUCUCAAGAAUUGUUUUUCGUGUCGCCACGUUGCUUGACAGUCUCAUUAAUUUAUACAUUAAAAUACCAACAACUGGUGAUGCUCUCGUGUUCAUGGAGCGAUUGAUUGCACUCACGUUAAGUUAGUCGGCACAAGAUUUAACCAGCUUGACAAAAUGUUUAGAAAUAGAAAAGGCUGUUGUUGGACCCCGAAUGAAGUUUCUCGAUAUUGUUCCGGAAUGACCAUGUAGAGCACAUUACAGCCGGAUAAUUCAGAACUCGUUAAUUUACAUGCGAUAUAUUUAAGGACGAUUAGAUGGGAUUUAUGUAGGUGAUAAAGGAUAUCCCU